AAUCCUAAGUGGAGCAGGGAAAACCUCUUCAACAAGUGAUGCUGGCAGAACUGGUUAGCCACUUGCAAAAAAGCGAACAUAGACCCCCAGUUAACAUCAUGUACGAAGGUAAAAUCCAAAUGGAUUAAAGACCUUGAUAUCAGACCUGGUACCAUAAGGUAUAUAGAACAACACGUAGGUAAAACACUCCAUGACAUUGAGACUAAAGGCAUCUUCAAGGAGGAAACUGCACUUUCCAAACAAGUGGAAGCAGAGAUCAACAGAUGGGAAUACAUUAAACUGAGAAGCUUCUGCACCUCAAAAGAAAUAGUACCCAGGAUACAAGAGUCACCCACCAAGUGGGAGAAACUAUUCACCCAAUACCCAUCAGAUAAGGGGCUAAUAUCCAAAAUAUACAGGGCACUGACAGAACUUUACAAGAAAAAACCAUCUAAUCCCAUCAAAAAAUGGGGAGAAGAAAUGAACAGACACUUUGAUAAAAAAGAAAUACAAAUGGCCAAAAGGCACAUGAAAAAAUGCUCCUUGUCACUAAUCAUCAGGGAGAUGCAAAUCAAAACAACAA